rnacentral:rRNA from 1 species
UACGUAGGUGGCAAGCGUUGUCCGGAUUUACUGGGCGUAAAGAGCGCGCAGGCGGUCGGGAUCAGUCGAAUGUGAAAGCCCCCCGGCUCAACUGGGGGAGGGUCAUUCGAUACUGUCCGACUCGAAGGCAGGAGAGGGAAGCGGAAUUCCCGGUGUAGUGGUGAAAUGCGCAGAUAUCAGGAAGAACACCUAUGGCGAAGGCAGCUCUCUGGGACGGUACUGACGCUGAGACGCGAAAGCGUGGGGAGCGAACAGG